CGGCGGUUUCGCGUUUUGGAGCCUCGCCGACACGAUGACGUCAGACGUUCGAGGCGCAAGCCGAGGGAACGCGUUUAAAGCCGAAUAGGGCGUGAAAGUGUGCGUAGCGCGGCGCUCGUCUCCCUUCGUAGUUCUUUAACCCGCGUCUCGCCCGGAGCCGAGUAAAAUGCGCGCUUAGGCCGCGCGUGUGUACUGUGAUAGAUAGGAAUACAAUACGUGGGUUAAUCAUGUUUGGUGCUCUCGCGGUGUGAUCGAUAUAUCCGCGAUACGCUUCGAGGGAGAAAGGCGAGUCGGGCCGAGUAGCGGGGAAUCAUGUUCCGCUGCAUUCCGAUAUUCAAAGCGUGUAACAGGCAGGUGGAAUACGUUGACAGGCGGCACUGCUCCCUCACGAACGUGCCCGACGACAUCCUGAGGUACUCCUGCAGCCUCGAGGAACUCCUCCUCGACGCCAACCACAUCAGGGACCUGCCAAAGAACUUGUUCCGCCUCCAAAGGCUACGUAAACUGGGACUCAGCGACAAUGAGAUCCACCGACUGCCCCCUGAGAUCCAGAACUUCGAGAACCUCGUGGAACUCGACGUCUCCAGGAAUGACAUUCCGGACAUUCCCGAGAACAUCAAGAAUUUGCGGGCUCUGCAAGUGGCCGACUUCAGCAGUAAUCCAAUUCCCAGGCUUCCGGCAGGAUUCGUACAGCUGAGAAACUUGACCGUACUCGGCCUAAAUGAUAUGUCGCUCAUGAAUUUGCCGCCCGACUUUGGAUGUCUCGAGGCGCUGCAGUCGUUGGAGCUGAGGGAGAACUUGCUGAAGUCCUUGCCGGAGUCGUUGUCUCAGCUAACGAAAUUGGAGCGACUGGACCUCGGCGACAACGAAAUAGAGGAAUUGCCACCGCACAUAGGGAAAUUGCCGGCUCUUCAGGAACUAUGGCUAGACCACAACCAGCUCCAGCACCUGCCUCCAGAAAUCGGGGAGCUGAGCACCCUGGCAUGCCUGGACGUAUCCGAAAACCGCCUUGAAGACCUACCCGACGAGAUAGGAGGCCUCGAGUCGCUGACGGACUUGCACCUCUCACAGAACGUCAUCGAGAAGCUGCCGGACGGCCUCGGCGAGCUGAAGAAGCUGACCAUCCUCAAGGUCGACCAAAACCGAUUGUCGACGUUGAACCCCAACAUCGGCAGGUGCGAGAAUCUCCAGGAGCUCAUUCUCACGGAGAACUUUCUCCUGGAGCUGCCGGUGUCCAUCGGGAAGCUGCUCAAUCUGAACAACCUGAACGUCGACAGGAAUAGCCUGCAGUCCCUCCCCACGGAGACAGGGAACCUGAAGAAACUGGGAGUCUUGUCGCUCAGGGACAAUAAACUCCAGUACCUACCCGCGGAAGUGGGACAGUGUAGUGCUCUUCAUGUACUCGAUGUGUCCGGUAACAGGUUGCAGUACCUGCCGUACUCGCUGAUCAACCUGAACCUGAAGGCGGUCUGGCUGAGCGAGAACCAGGCGCAGCCGAUGCUGACGUUCCAAACAGACGUAGACGAGGAAACCGGACAAGAGGUGCUCACGUGUUUCCUUCUGCCCCAACUGGAAUAUCAUCCCGAUGGGCAGCACGACGCUGGAAGGCUGGGCAUGUUGGCAGGACUGAGAAACGUGGUCCAGACCGGGGAGAUGAGGGAGCUGGAGAGCAGCGACGACGAGGGCUGGCAGGAGCGAGAAGCCUCCAGGACGCAUUCCGUCAAGUUCACCGACGAGCCCUCCGAGGGGGACAAGGAGACGCCGUUCGUGCGGCAGAACACUCCCCAUCCUAAGGAACUGAAGGCGAAGGCCCACAAGCUCUUCAGCAAAGGGAGGAACGACAGCAGGUCCGCCUCCACCGACGAGCAAGAUGUCUCGCAGACCUUCGGUCUGGACAAGGCGGAGAACGACGCGACCGGGAACGCGGUCGAGGCCACGCAGAACGCACAGCAGGAGCCCCCGGUCGACCCUGAGGUGGCGUCGAUGACGAAAGUGCCGUCGUCGGAAAAUUUACAAGACAACACACAGUCCAUCAACGAGCCGGAUUCGAUCUCUUCUAGGCAGACGGAAUCUCAGGCACCGCUGGAUUUGGAUGUCGAGGGUUCGGUGUCGGAAUCAAGGGGUAGGGAGGAGGAUGAGUCCGAGGGGGAGGACGUGCAAAGGCACGUCGAGUUUUCCAUUUCGGAAGGGACGGAUGGCGAGGGCGGGGGUGACCCUGGUCGGCCUAAUCGGCUGCACCGGCGAGACACCCCCCACCAUCUCAAAAACAAGCGUAUUCACCCGGGAAUUGACAAGGACAAAGUCGCGUCCAUCAUUGCACAGGCACUGACCAAGAGGAGCGACGAGGUUCCUGCACCCCUUUCUGCCCCCACGGAAUCUGCGGAGGAUUUGCAUAGUCAAGGGGCGAUUUCUGACGCCGAGCCAACGCUGGAAGUUAGAGAAGAGCAGUACGAGAUUCACAUAGAAAGAACCACCGGUGGACUCGGAUUGUCAAUAGCUGGUGGCAUCGGCUCGACGCCAUUCAAAGGGGACGACGAAGGUAUUUUUAUUUCCCGAGUGACCGAAGGCGGUCCAGCCGACCUGGCUGGCCUCAGGGUAGGCGACAAGGUGAUCUCGGUGAACGGGGUCUCGGUGGUAAACGUGGAUCAUUACGACGCAGUCGAGGUAUUGAAAGCGUGCGGACGUGUCCUCGUGCUCGUAGUCGUCAGGGAGGUCACGAGAAUAGUGCCGCCACCGGAACAGCUGUCAGCGAGGAAAGACUCGGUGUGCUCCAGUCUGAGCACAAGUCGAGCCGCGAGUGCGACCUCCUACGUCUCGUCGACGGCCCUUUCCCAUACCUUGGAGAAUGGUGAGUCCUGUACGACGCACGACACCAUGAAGGCAAAGAAGUCCAUAGAACCGAUUCCAGCGGCGAGAUCAAGCGGGGAGCCGAUGGUCCCUGUUCUCGUGCACACCACCUUGAUUCGAGAUCAGAACGGACUGGGCUUCAGCAUCGCCGGGGGGAAGAGCUCUCCUCCAUUUAAGGACAACACCGACGCUGUAUUCAUCUCGAGAAUAACGGACGGUGGAGUGGCGCAGAAGGACGGCAAGCUGAUGAUCGGGGACAAGGUGGUGUCUAUAAAUGGCGUGGAGAUGUCGGGGGCAAAGCACGAACAGGCAGUGUCGAUGCUGACGGGCCUGGAGAGGUUUGUUCGCCUUGUGGUGGAGCGCGAGGUGCCCCUUUCUCAGGCGAACCCGGCGACUGCGGCGACACCCUCGGAGAAGUCCCCUAGGGUCAUCGGGGCCCCUAGGCCCUACACAGGCUUGUACAACGCGAACAGCUAUAUGGCCAACAGGCCCUCGGCCUAUGCAGGGUAUCGACGUUCCGUCGAUCUCGAGAAACUGGCUCCGUCGCCCAGCCCGGUCACCUCGGACACGCCUCCACCGGAUCCCUUGAAGACGGAGGCUGCGAACGGCCUGCCGAAGAUGAAUGGGGUCGGAGAGGUUCCCAACGUCCCCUCGAAGACGUCUCCUCCGGUCACUCCAACGAUCCAUUCUCAGACUCGGUUGAAGAUGCAACCUCAGCCCGCUCCUCGUCAAAGCGUCGCGCAACCUGGGGGACAGGGGGCUCCGGAUAGUCCCGCUGGACCCCUUCCCGCCUCUCCCACGGGGUCUGACACCCAAAGGCCCGUCUCUCCUCAGGAUGACGUUCAGGCUCCCGGGCCCAUCACCAAUGAGGAAUUUCAGGCCAUGAUCCCUGCCCAUUUCCGCCGAGCUCCCGCCUCCUCGCCCUCCCCGGAGGCCCAUCAGGGUCCUACGGUCACUGUCACUAUUAAGCAACCUGAUCUUAUCCCUGGGGAUGUUUGUCUACCUCCGGCGCCGACCGCUCUCGGCAAAGUUACGGAGACCAUCACUAAGAGCACCCUUACCGAGACCGUCGUCACCCGGGUGACCGAUAAUCACCUCGUCGAGCCCGUCAUCAUCGAGGACGUCGUGCUCAUCAAGGAAGGCUCUCUAGGCUUUAGUAUCAUCGGCGGGACCGAUCAUUCCUGCACGCCUUUCGGCGCAAAGGAACCUGGAAUAUUUAUAUCUCACGUUGUACCUGGUGGCAUUGCGGCCAAAUCCGGAAAGCUACGAAUGGGAGACAGAAUUCUCAAAGUGAACGGCACCGACGUGACUAAAGCUACCCAUCAGGAAGCCGUCAUGGAGCUGCUUCGUCCUGGGGACUCUAUCGUCUUGACCGUCCAACACGAUCCACUUCCUGAGAGCUAUCAGGAACUGGUGAUAAUUAAGGAGCCAGGUGAGAAACUAGGCAUGCACAUUAAAGGUGGACUGAGAGGACAGCGAGGGAAUCCUCUCGAUCAUAGCGACGAAGGUGUCUUUAUCUCGAAGAUAAACUCCGAUGGUGCUGCGAAAAGGGACGGAAGGUUAAAGGCUGGCAUGAGGUUGCUGGAAGUCAACGGGACGUCGUUGCUGGGAGCUACUCAUCAGGAGGCCGUGAACAUUCUGAGGUGCUCGGGGAACAUCAUCAAGCUGGUGGUCUGCAAGGGGUACGACAGGGGCGAGGUCGAGCAGGUGUUGACGAUGACAGGUGGCAGGGAUUCGAAGGAGUCCAAGGUGUCCAGGGAUGACAAGGAGGGACCUCCCGAUGGCAUAAAGUCCUUAUCGCAAAGUGUGUCCAGCCUGGACCGGGAUGACGAGGAGGCUGCCACUCUCAGACAGGAGCAGGAGAUGAAGGCCGAGCUGGUAGCCUGGGAACAAGAAGAGCGAGAACGCGCCCUUGUCGAACAACGCGAAAAAUCGACCCCCGAGAAGGUGCUCGAUGUAGUGCGAGCUGCCGAGUCGUUGGUGAACAAGUCGAACAGCCCCGUGGACAUGUACGUGCCUCCAAAGUCCCCAGGAGGCACGAAAGACGUGAAGACGACGACGAUCGUCAUGAGCAAACACACGCUGGCGCCCCAAAACCCGACACCAGUAAGCAAAGAGGAUUCAGGGACAUCCGUCGACAGUCCCACGUCGACGAGUUCUCCGAUCUCCAUCCUGUCGCCACUGUCCUCCAUGACGACGUCCUUAAACAAUUCUUCGUCCUUAACGAGCCCGACCUCACAGACCCUUCCCUCGCCCUCGAGGAAGACCUCGACCCCGAAACGGAGCAUAACCUUCGCCGCCUUGCCAACCUCCCCGAGAACGACCUCGAUAGGAGGGUCCCUGUCGACCUCCGACCUCCUAAAAUCCACCCCGAGACAAAGACCCUACUCCGUGCACGAUAAGCCCCUGAAGAGUCCCUCUUAUCAGAGCCUCCUGACCGGAGGUCAGUCUCGUUUUCGGCUUCCUCCCACGCCCCUGACCAGUCCUGGCCUGGGAAACCUUGCUGGGAAAACCGGCCUCACGAGUUCCCUAAAAAACCGACAGAUUGCACGCUCUGUUGCCGAUAACACCCUGGUCGAGCCUUCGCCGAGUCCAUCGCCGACCCCUGGCCCCGUGAAGAUGACGGUCAGCGAUAGGAAGAGGCUCUUCGAGAACGCAAUGGAGGAGCACCUGAAGCCGUCGCCUAAGCCGGAGAAGGUUUUCAGUUUCCUAAGUCAAGACGAGGUGGAGAAGAUGAAGCAGGAAGAGGAGAAGAAAAUCGCCACCCUGACGAGAGACGAGCUGAAAUCCUGGGCCCAGAUCGAUGAGAACGAGGGACUGGAAGAGGCCGAGGAUGCCCUGGAAGAUCAGGACAGCAGACGGCCUAAGGUCUGAUCUCCGACGAAGACGAAGAGAGCCACCUGACGCCGGCAGAGCAGAGAGCCCUGAGGGCGGAAAAGAGGGCAGCAUGGCGACAAGCCCGGUUAAAAUCUCUGGAACAGGACGCGCUGCAGG
rnacentral:misc_RNA from 1 species